AUGCUGAAUCAAGCACACCGCUUGAAACACGUUUCCGGUUUUGAAUACAUUUCAAGGGUUGCCAGAUACAAGAGAACUUUAUUGGUGAGUAAAACGGUGUACAAACACACGCGAAUUCCAGAAAAAGAAAGACCAACAACCGCAAGGUUGUUGGAGCUGCAUAUAUUCUAUGUACCAGAAGAAAAGUGGAAUUCAAAACUCAAUAAAGCUCCAAUUGAAGCCAUUGACGGCUUCAUAUCUGCCGGCUUUAUCAGAGUGUAUCCCAACAUAAGUUUAAAAACUCUCAGGGAUGAACUUGGUGGGCUUCUUGGGGCAGAAAAGUCAAUUGACAAUUUUUCAUUUUUAAAAUGUGUCGGUCGAAGUUUGGCAUUGGUCAAAGCCAAACAAGAAAGGGAACUGAAAGUGAAGUCCUUUGUCCCUCCAUUUGCCCCACAUCCAGAACUGUACCUGCUGCCCAUGGUGGAAAAUAGUGACAGUGUUCUCUCUGAUUCGCUCACACCGGAUAGGCAGAUUUACCGCACAGACCUUCACACGUACUCUGCCAAGAGUUCCCACGUGCCUACUGUGACAAAAAAGUCCUCAAAACUUCCCCAGAUCAAACACCAAGCACCCCAACGGCCUCCCCCAACACAGAUCAUGCAAGGUUUGGGGAGCUUCAGCUCUAGCGAUGAGAAGGAAGAUGUCCUCCACUCUCAAGAGCCAGGGUGGGAUGAAACCCGCAACCCCCCAGGGAGAGACCAGGAUCAGUCAGAAUCUGUUCUAGAACAGGAAGAAAUGGCUCCAGCAGCAGAGCCUCAAGCUAAAAGCAAUACCUAUGUAAAGAUGGGCCCCCGUUUCCGGAAACACCCCACUAGAGAUUCUGGAGUUCCUGAGUCACUGGAGGAUUAUGAUUCUGGAUUCUCCCCCUCCAAAGCCAGGAACUCAAAUCGCUCUCAGCCGUUAAAGUACAUUAGCAAGAAAUCAAAUAAUCAGAUCCGGAGAAAUCCACCCCAUCUGCCCACUUCUGCACAGUAUUCCCCACCCCCUUCCUCAGCACUUCCUCAUCAUACCAUAGCAACGUGCAAACCCACUGCUUCUGUUUUCCUCACAAAUAGAGAGGAGUUGAUUGAGCAGAUUAAAUUGGUGAAAGAAGAGCGGAAGCAUCUUGAAAGGACUCGACAAGGCCUGCUGCGAAAAGGCAAAGACCUACUGGCACAGAACAGAUACCGUAGGAUGAAUGCGCGAGACAGCUGGAAGAGGAAGUACUUUGAUGCAAAGAAGGCCACAGAACACCUGGAGAGCACUCUAAAAAGUCUCAGACAGGACUUGGAAGCAUUUUAUCACAAACUGCUGCAACAGCUGCAGGCACGGGAUGGCAGGCACAAAACCAAACACCUGGGGAAACCUUACGCCAAGUGUUUCCUUUUCAGAAUGAACUCAUCAUCCAGAUUAUUUUGGAGAGCCAUGAAAUAGACAAGCUGAAAAAGAAAGUGGAUGAUGCCAAAAUGAAACUGGUCACAGAGCUGAAGCUCAGGAAGCAGGCUGCAACUGAACUCCAGGCACUAAAAGCAGAGCUAAUACAGAAGGUCCAGUCUUCUCUCCCUGUACCACACAAAAGCUCUGUGGGCAAUGGGUUUGGGUCCUAGAGCAGGUUGAGUUAGCUGGGCAUUUCAAGUAAAUCUCUGUGGCUUCAACUCUUAUCAUAAGGAACUAAGAAUUAAGGUUUUUUUCUGUGUGAAGAGGCUGUUUUUAUCAAAAGGUAAUCAGUGCUCAAUAAUUCCAAACAACUUCUGUCAUGUAAAACCCACUGACAUACAAGCGUUAUUUCUUCUACAACUUGUUAAUCACUUGGAUUCUUACACUACAGGUUAUAAAUAAGCAAUUGAGGUUUUACUAUAUGAUUUCAAGAUGUUUUAUUCAACAGUUUAUUAAAGGUUUUGCAUUAAAA